ACAGAACAUGUUAAAUCUUGUCCGGAGAACUUAGCAACCCAGUAAACCACAAGGGAUUGGCACGAGAAUGAAAUCUCUAUUAAUUUCCAGUUGAUAAAAACCAUUCUUGUAGGAAAUUAUAUGUACUGAAGCUCUUCGGGCAUAUCACAGAGCUUUCUUAUGCUCAUCUCUAUGCCACAUCAAUAUCACCUUCGGCUGCCCAACAACUAAUUUUUUCUAUCAAGGUUAUACUCGGUGAAGAUGCUUCUAGUAGAGGUGGCAGUAGUGAUGAUUGCUUUUCCAGCUACUCCUUUACUUUUGGCCAGGCAUGGGUAUGCAUUUCAGCUGUCAUUCAAGGAAAGAUCCUAUUAAAAAGCUGGAGGUUUGCUUUUACUUGUGUUUAUUUUAUCAUCCAUCUAAUAAGCAUGUUUAGUUGUGUGUCC